rnacentral:tRNA from 6 species
UUACUUUGGCAGAUUAGUGUAUUUGAUUUAGAAUCAUUUUAAGUAAAGUUUUUACAAGUAAUAN